UCUCCUCAUUUUGUAAAACUCAGAUCUAAAUUCACGCACACAAACACUUACCUGCUCCAUCUUUCCCUUUCACCUCACAAACCCUAGCUUCUCUUGUCUGCAAUCUUAUACACAUAAACAAAAAAAUGGAGCAUGGCCUCCUUCUUCAUCUGGAGCUCCUUCAAAUCCACAAACUCACCAGCCUACCCCCUCCCUCCUCUCGAGACUGACUAGCGGCUCCGAGGAGCCGGCGCCGGUUCUCCAACCAGAUAUACACCCUCCUCCCUCUCGUUUUCAAACUCAGCAAACAACAGGAACAAGCCGGCAAUGGUGGACGGCAGCGCCGCCGCUACGGCAGCGGUGGUGGUGAGUUUCGACGGCGCCCCCCUAAACCGAAGCCUCUGAAGAUGAAUCAAGCCUCCAACUUCCGAUUCGAGCAACAGAGGGGACGUAAUCAAACAUUGGCAGCCGUAUUUUCACUCCGUUUUAAGGGAGUCGGGUGUCGGAUGGUGGUGCUCGAUUCGCGGUUCAGUUCAGCAGAAUGUUCGGUUCAGACGACUGAGAUUCAGGGAAUGUUUGGUUCACGAGUUGGUUCAGUACACGUGGUUUAGGCUCAAGUCUCGGCUCAUGUUUCAGGUCUCGGUUCGGGUUCACUCCCUCAAAAUCUGGUUCGGGUUAUGGAUUCAUGUGAAUCGGGUGUUUCGAGCUCAGGUCAGAUACGGUCAGGUCGGAGAUGACCUCCAACCGCUGAGCAGUGGUGGCUAUGUCGUCAGUUCAGGCUCGGUGGAGUCUCGGCUUGUAUCUCGGUUCAGUUUCGAGUACAAGUCAGCUUCAUUCAACAAAAGUGAACGGUCAGAAUUGUUUGGGUUCAUAUUUUCGUGUUCGUGUUCAACAGAAGUCAAAGUCAGUCAACAUGAGACCGGAAUGUCACAGUUAUACGCUAGCUAAUUCACGUUCUUGGAACAGCACUACGGAAUCACGCUAGGCUAGCUUUGCACAGGAAUGCCAAGGUUACAUUUUCAAAACUAUGGAACAGUUGGAAUAGGAGAACCCAUGGGAAUUCGAGUAAUUAGCAGGCGUUAUAUUUCUAGCAGUCUUAGCUUAUUUGCUUCCGCUGUGCAAUGAAGAUAGCAGUCCAGUCACGCCAGCUCUGAUAAUUUCGGGGUGUGAUAGUUAAUACGAUUGAACAAUGAAUGAGUCAGAAGACAGGCUUGAAUGUAUUCAACGAGAACGACCAAAAGUCAGUUUUCACAAUUAAAACAUGAACGAUUUGAACGAUUUGAACAAUUUGAACCAUUGGAACGAUUUGAACGAUUGAUAACACGAAUGAAUUGAAUGAUUGGUUUUGGUAUGUGAUUAGAUAACGGGACGGGUGUAAUAUGAUAAAAGCAUGGUAGAUACGCCGCUGGUACUUCUUAUAUAUAAGUGCUUUUAUCAUAUUACAUUCCGUGGCGUUAUUUAGUUCACUUGAACGAUUGAUUUCAAAUGAUGACACGCAACGAUGUUUACUAAAUGAUAUAAACCAUACAAGUUUUAUUACAAGAACGAUUUAUAAUUUGGUUUACAAAGACAAAUGUUUUAGUCAAGAUUCAUGGCAACGAGGUUUUAUAAACUAUAACCAACUUGUUUUAAGUUGGUUAAUCAUAUUGCAAUACAAGACACUUUUCAAAACACAGUUUUCAAUCAUUGACUCUUGUAGUCGUACGAAGUAUUGCAACAUUAUACAAGCCAUGAAUCUGACACACUCACAAAACCUAUGUGCUCACCGACAUUUUUAUGUUGACUUUAUUUUCACAUAUGUUUCAGGUGGUGUUUGAUGAUGAUGAUGAUGAUGAUGACUAGGAUGCAUGCUCACGUAGGAUCGGACGAGGUCUUAGUAACUUAAUAACAUUGAUAGACAAUAUGUUUGUGUUUUGCUUUUAAAUUUCAAAAUAAUGUACAUAACUAAAUUCAAUAAAACGAAACUUUAAUC